AUGACUCAACUUUGUACUAACUUUAGUACAAAGUUGGGUCAUCUAUUUUGGAACGGAGGGAGUACAUGCUUCUCAUUCCUUCACAUGCUAUCCUUCAUAAAAAGACUCCCUUUUGUUCAAAAUGAACAUGCACCUGAAAGUCAAGGUAAAAGAACUCCCUUCACAUCUGAGAUGACCAAAGAAGCGCAUACCACCACAUUUCCAAAACUGAAAGUACAGCAUUGUGUCAACAUGAUACAAUUUUACAUACUUAAACAAAACCUAUCCGCACUUCAAAACACAAAAUGGCAAUGGCUGGCAGAAUAA
rnacentral:rRNA from 1 species